AUGACACAGGAAACCACAGAAUGAUUUGGGAAGUACUGCAGAACUGCUCUCUGCAAAACUGGUUUGAAGUGAGAAAGCAACAAUAAACUGUAAGUAAAUGAAAUGAA
rnacentral:lncRNA from 1 species